rnacentral:misc_RNA from 1 species
AAGUCGUAACAAGGUUUCCGUAGGUGAACCUGCGGAAGGAUCAUUAAAGAUUCGGGUCUCGGCCCUACCUCUUCAGCUGUGCGCUUCGGCUGCACGCUGUUGAAACUCUCACACCUGUGCACCUUUUCGGUUGCGGCGUUUGCGCGUCGCUUCCGCUUUCACAUUUUACUACAAAAGUUCAGAAUGUAAUAAACCAUAAACAUAACAACUUUCAACAACGGAUCUCUUGGCUCUC